AUACGGAGGGGGUUAGCGUUGUUCGGAAUUACUGGGCGUAAAGCGUACGUAGGCGGACUGGAAAGUUGGGGGUGAAAUCCCGGGGCUCAACCCCGGAACUGCCUCCAAAACUUCCAAUCUAGAGAUCGAGAGAGGCGAGUGGAAUUCCAAGUGUAGAGGUGAAAUUCGUAGAUAUUUGGAGGAAAACCAGUGGCGAAGGCGGCUCACUGGCUCGAUCCUGACGCUGAGGUACGAAAGCGUGGGGAGCAAACAGGAUUAGAUACCCUAGUAGUCC
rnacentral:rRNA from 1 species